CCUACGGGUGGCUGCAGUGGGGAAUAUUGCACAAUGGGCGCAAGCCUGAUGCAGCCAUGCCGCGUGUGUGAAGAAGGCCUUCGGGUUGUAAAGCACUUUCAGCGGGGAGGAAGGCGGUGAGGUUAAUAACCUCAUCGAUUGACGUUACCCGCAGAAGAAGCACCGGCUAACUCCGUGCCAGCAGCCGCGGUAAUACGGAGGGUGCAAGCGUUAAUCGGAAUUACUGGGCGUAAAGCGCACGCAGGCGGUCUGUCAAGUCGGAUGGGAAAUCCCCGGGCUCAACCUGGGAACUGCAUUCGAAACUGGCAGGCUAGAGUCUUGUAGAGGGGGGUAGAAUUCCAGGUGUAGGGGUGAAAGGCGUAGAGAUCGGGAGGAAUACCGGUGGCGAAGGCGGCCCCAUGGACAAAGACUGACGCUCAUGUGCGAAAGCGUUGGGAGCAAACAGGAUUAGAUAGCCCGGUAGUC
rnacentral:rRNA from 1 species